CAGAAAACAAUUUUGAAAAAAAUCAAGCUAAAUAUAUUCGUUUAAAGUUUGUGCUAAAGUUCAAAGGCUACAAUACACAUUACAAAUUACUCGUAAGGUAAAAUUCAACUGACGAAUUAAUAUUGUCUAAUCUAAGGAUUAAACCCUGAUGAGCUUCAGUUUAGAAAAUUUUUUGUUUAAAUUGCAAGCCCUAGUUUCUCAAGCUCAGCAAAUAACUAUAUUUUUUGUAUAAAUAAUUAUUUCAAUGUGGCAAUAACACAAUAACAACAGUAUAGUCUUAAGCAACCUUGAAAGUGAAACAAAACCUUGGAAUUAAUCCAUUAUUUAAAUACGUGACCAACAACAUCUGCAAUAAUUAUCAAUAAUUCAUGAGAGUAUAAACGUAAUAAAAUACAUCGUAAGGAACAAUAUACCUACUGAUCUGUAGAAACUUUUUAAAAUUCAACCCUCUUGCCUUUACAAGUUUUCACUGUCUCUCAGGUAGAUACAAUUUUCCAUAUCAAUAGGCAGUACUUUAUUGCAUUAGACCUAAUCUAAAUUAUCCACCUGUAAAUAAUACAAUUACUACAAAGAGAAAUAUACAAUAAAUUGCAAUAAUGAAUAUACUAGCAUUGUCAAACUAUAAAUCACAAGAUCCUCUUACUUCCCUUUCAUUAAGUAGGUAUAUAAGUUCUCUAAAUCUACCUACCCAACAGUAAAAGAAUUGAAUUCACAAGAUGAGAUCUACAGUAACGGCAAUUUUACUUGUGGCUGCGAUGCUAUGCUGUGUCAAUUCGGCAAUUAAACACUACAAUGGUUUUCCCAUAAAUCGACAAGUUAGAGCGGCUGAAGGACCAAAAAAUGCUGAUUUAGAAGGAUCCGAAACUGGGUACGUGGUGUACCCAUACCUGUACCCUUAUGCUGCAUAUCAUCAUCCCGUCGUUUAUCUUGGAAAGUGAAUUAUAUCCAGUCCUAGUCUGGUGGACAUCCUUUGGUAACAAAUAUUAUGUCCAGAUAUCAUUCCAUAUAUCCUUGUAAAUAAAAUGAAUUAUAAUAAAAAUGAACAACAUUCAACAAUA